rnacentral:tRNA from 1 species
GGGCCGUUAGCUCAGUCGGUAGAGCAGCUGGCUUUUAACCAGUUGGUCGGCAGUUCAAGUCUGCCACGGCCCACCA